rnacentral:rRNA from 1 species
GACAGAGGGUGCAAACGUUGUUCGGAUUUACUGGGCGUAAAGCGCGUGUAGGCGGCUUGGCAAGUUGGAUGUGAAAGCCCACGGCUCAACCGUGGAAGCGCAUCCAAAACUGCUUCGCUCGAGUCUCGGAGAGGAAGGUGGAAUGCUUGGUGUAGAGGUGAAAUUCGUAGAUAUCAGGAGGAACACCGGUGGUGUAGACGGCUUUCUGGACCGUAACUGACGCUGAGACACGAAAGCGUGGGUAGCAAACAGG